ensembl:lncRNA
GCCAGAGGCGCCGGGGUCAACUGCCCGCCAGCCUGCGGCCCAGGGCGGUGGUCGGCUCCCCGCCCGCAAGGCCGGCGCGAAGUGGAGGAGCCUCCCGCGCGCCAGUCUGCACGCCGCGCACGUCCAGGGUAGGAUGUUCGGGGCUUCCUGUGGUUGGCGCCAGUCCUGAGCAAUCGCUGCUUCCGACGGGCACCUCUUCAGGUGCCUCCCGGCCUCCAGGCACAGGGCCCAGCCCAGGCUACCCCUCUGUGCCUUGUCACCAGCUCCAAGGCCUCCUGAAGAAUAAACCCACAGCAUCUGGGUGUGCCUGCCAGCUGCCAGUGGGAGCCCCGUGCUGUGGCCGUUCUUCUGUGGGGAGGGACGAUGCUCAACCCAAGGAGAUGGGCCCCCGCGCUCAGUGUCUGCCCGGUGAGAUGCGUGCACAGGUGUGUCGGGACAGCUGCGGUCUCUGCUCCGCCUCCGCUCACCACCCCCCAACCCUGGGUCCCCGAGCCUCCGGCUGUGCCCGUCCAUCUCUCUCCAGCCAGCAGGCUUGGAGCUGGCUCCAUCCACGGCCGUUAGGUCUCCGAUGGUGGGAAGAGGGUGAUUCUGCUGCCAAAGCCGCCUUCAGGCAGGGUCCCUGGGGUAGAGGGAGCCCCAGGGGGUCUGGCCAGGGCCGGCAGCAUCUCUCCUGGAGUAACUGGGCGCCGAGGAGGCAUUGGGAUCUGCCUGCCUCUGGACGGCCCCUCCCAUCAGCUGGUAAAUCUACCCCCUGUCCCUGCAGAAGGGCUCUGCUUGCCACUGGACUCCUGGAUCUCCGGACCCCAGCCCUAUUCUGGGCCCUCGCCCCUGGGACCCCAGAGAUGGGACUGGAGGGACUUCCUCAAUCCACCUGCAGGAGGGGACCAGUUGAAACUGACUUCAGAAAAACAGCUUUCUGAGCCCAAACAGGCUGCCAAGAGCUAUGCUUUUCCCUCCAAGCUUGACUUUCUGAUUUAAUGAGGCUUCUUGUCCAAGUUGGGCUUCCCUUGAGGCUCAGCUGAUAAAGAAUCUGCCUGCAAUGCGGGAGACCUGGGAUCACUCCCUGGGUUGGGAAGAUCCCCUGGAGAAGGAAAAGGCUACCCACUCCAGUAUUCUGGCCUGGACAGUUCUGUGGACUGUAUAGUCCAUGGGGUCACAGAAUCAGACACGACUGAGCGACUUUCACUCACUCACUUGUCCAAGUUGGGCUUCCCAGGUGCUUCAGCGGGUAAAGAAUCCUCCUGCCAAUGCAGGAGACCCAGGAGAUGCUGGUUUGAUCCCUGGGUUGGAAAGAUCCCCUGGAGAAGGAACUGGCAACCUACUCCAGUAUUCUUGCCCGGGAAAUCCCAUGGACAGAGGAGCCUGGUGGACUACAGUCCAUGGGGUCACAGAGUCGAACCUGACUGAGCAACAGAGCACGCACUUUGUCCAAGUUGAGCCGCUCAGCACCAGCCUGUGUCAGGUGAGCCUAGGGUGGGCCAGCAUGGCUGGAAGUAGACACGUCACAGAGAAAACCCCCUUUCCUAGUAAGGGGCUCCUGCUGGCCGGGCCCAAGACACCUCUGGAAGUUUUCACAGACCCACCAGUGUCCAAGGCAAGUUAAAGCACACUCUGUCACAGAUUUUCACUCAGGUGUUUGUCUUUCUGAGCACGGUGAAGGGGGUUUAACCACGGUGUUCUCCAGAGGAAGAUGCUGGGGGGUUGCGGUUCUCCUGCAGGGAGAUGGAAGGUGCUCAGAAGCGGGCGAGGCAGAGCCUUGCCUCUGGGGCACCAGGCUGAGGCAGAGCCCUCGGGGCGUCCGGGUCUGGUGGGGCAGCAGCCGGCUCACCCACUUCCUGGUGGGACGCAUGCAGGAUACGAGCGGCAGCCGCCUGCUCCUGUACCCGGGGCCCCAGGACUGCGAGAUGGGGGCCAGCUUUGCUGCUCACACUGGUGGUCACCGCCCAGUCACCUGGUGUCAGCUUGAGAAGGAAUCGGCUCCCUGGCCAGGCAUGAGUGGGGUGCCAGCCAGUCAUCAGAGGAGGUAGCUGGAGGCCCGGGGGCAGAUGGAUCGCAGCCUCCUAACGGCUGGGCCGCUGCUCCCUCUCCGAAGCCCCUGGACACGGGGCCCUGUGCAGGCUGUGUGGAGCUGAGUGCCAAGGGGCCUGGAUGCACCAACUCCGCAGGCUUUGACCAUGGAACCCCUGGACGUCCACUGGAGAAUCAACCUGAGAGGUUAGAGGCAGUCUCCCGCAGCUUUCAACACUGUUGUUGAGAAACGGAGAGCCCCCGCGGCCACUGAGCAGGUCUGUGAGUUUAGAUCGGGGUGAGUGUCUUGUGUUUCGUCACAGUGUUUCUGCAAACACUUCCAGGGCUUCCAGGCCAGACCUGCGUUGGUGCUGGGACAGCAGAUGACACUCAUGGGGUCGGCCCUGCAGAGGCUUGGCCUGCGAAGCAUUCCAGGAGGUGUGGCUGGAGAUGUUCCAGCCGGCCUGUGAACGGGAGCUGCAGGCUCGUCCCCGCCCGGCCUCCUGCCCUGGGGGGCUGUGGGGCUCCCCCAGGGGGCAUCAGGGGCCCUUCAAGGAGGGUGCUCCCAGCCACAGGUCCUGAUGCCAUCCUCUGGCCUCUAGCUCGGGCAAGUUCUGGAAUUACUCUGGGCAGCACGGGGCCCGUGACACCUGUGGGAGUGACCCUGCUCCGUAGGAUGCUGGGUGUGCCGCGGACAGCACGCCACGUGUCUUGCGUCCUCCCUGUGAACUCCGUCACAGGAAGCUGGCUGCUCUCCGGGCACGUCGCCCGUGGGCAGGUCCACUGGGCGUCCUGCAGGAGAGCCCAUGACAGCAGUGCUGCUCGCCCCUUCCAGAGAUGCAGACUCUUUCACCACUGGGCGAGAGUCACAGGAAGGCACAACCAGGCGAGGGCUGGCCCUGGACACAGGUCCCCCCACCCAGCCCUCAGCACCCCAAGGUCUGGGCCACAUCAGGGGCCCUGGAGGCAGGUCCCUUCAGGAGCCAGGCAGGGAGGUGGGCGUGGAGGCCGCUGUGGGGGAGGCUGUAAGGCGCCUGAGCCAGGCGGCUGGGGAGCCCACUGACAGUGACCUGUGGCUUUGAAGCUGUUUGUUAUGUGGCAUUACUGUAGGGUUUGGUAACUGAUACAGUCCCAUGGGCCAGAUUCACCUAUGGGGGUCCUGAUUGUGACCUUGGAGGUUUCCAAGACUUUUUCCCAUUCAGAAUGUGAUUCCACAAGAAGAGCUUAACUGUCUGUUCUCUUCCCUCCAGGGCUGUACAGCCAGAGAGGGUAACUUUCUGCCCAUUCUGCCUGGCAAUAGUCAUGUCCCACCGCCCUGCAGGGCCGCCCAGGGCUGGGCUCCUCUGGGGGUGCAGGGUAGACUGCCCGAGCCACAGGGACGGGAGACAGCAAGCCAAGCAGAACAGCCGCCUGUGAGUCACCGUUCCAGAACCACCACAAAUGGCCCGCACCUGCUCGCCCACCCCUUCCCACACCUGCCAGCCUCACCAGGGGCUUUUGGCCGCUGGACACAGUGGGGCUGGCGCACACUGACCACCUCCAGAAGACAGUGACAGAUGUCAGCGCCAGCAAGUCCUGCCCCUCCUGUCAGCAGAUGUCAAGAUAUGAAAAAUUGGGCCACUCCCAAUACUUUGGCCACCUGAUGUGAAGAGCCAGCUCAUUGGAAAAGACCCUGACGCUGGGAAAGAUUGAAGGCAGGAGGAGAAGGGGACAACAGAGGAUGAGAUGGUUGGAUGGCAUCACCGACUAGAUGGACAUGAGUUUGAGCAAGCUCUGGGAGUUGGUGAUGGACAGGCCUGGUGUGCUACAGUCCAUGGGGUCACCAAGAGACACGACUGAGUGACUCAGUAACAACAAUAUAGAUCAAGAUAUGUUUAGUAUAAAUGACAAGACCUAUUGUGACUGGUAAAGCAGUGCCUUUUUAAUUGAUUCUGAAACUAGGACCAGAGCAGUUUUUUUGUUUGUUUUUGUGAAACCCACAUAGUGUAGAAGUAAGUAUGUUUAGGCACACAAUUCAGUAGCAUAUUGUACACUCGCCAUGUUCUGCACCACCUCUCUAUAGAAUGUUUCCCUCAUCCCACAAGGAAACCCUGCCCCUGUGAGCAGUCUCACCCCCCACACCACUCCCUGGGAGCCCCUGGUCCACUUACUUUCUCUGUGGAUGGACUUCCUCUGGGCGUUCCAUAUGAAUGGUCUCGUAUAAUACGUAGCUUUAUGUGUCUGAAUUCUCUCACUGCACACAUUUUCAGGGUCCGUCUAUGUUGUAGAUACACCAGUACCUAUCUCUUGUUUUAUGGCUGAAUAAUACACCAGUGCACAUUUUAUUAAAUUCAGGUUGAAACAGGCGAGAACUUGACUCUGGCUGGCCUUUCUACGGCCAGGUCCUGCUCGACAACGUUCAUUCCCAUGGAGGUUCUAGACUCUCAGAUGGACUGGACCUCUGUGGUCAGCUCAGGAAGGAGGACCCUGGAGGGGACAUGAGAACAUGAGCUCCAAGAAGAACUCUCUGGUGGCCUCGCCCACCCUGGGCAGACCCGAAGAGGGAGCCCAGAGCCCCGGGAGCUGGAGGCUGGACAAGGGGCCCUUUUCUGCUCUGCACAAUGUCCCAUUGUGCCCUUCUGAGGGGGGGGACAAUGCAGCGCCGGCCAGGGUAGGCUGAGGACAAAGAGCCCUUUGUGGUUCCAUCCCCACCUGAAAGGCAGCGCCUGGGGUCCCACCUGACAGCAGCGUGGCCCUCCUCGCCCCCGGCCCCUGCGCUGCUCCCACCGCUCAGACCCCUCGGUGAGGACCCAGGGACGCUGGACCCUCCCCCGCUCUCCCCAG